CCUGUAUGCUAACAUUGCCUAUGUAAAUUUUAAAAUCGUUUGUAUGCACAUUGAACGACAAAUUUAUGUGACGUAUAAAGUUUUCUGACGUCAGACACUCAAAUCAAUGAAUGUGUUCGUAGAUAGUAGAUGUUUUUGUGUUCUGUUAAAUUGUUCCUUUUAAAAUUGUUAUACGAUGAUGACUGAUGUACCCAUAUUUUGACUAUUUUAUUUAUUGUGUCUGUUUAUUUAACGCAUCAAUGUAAAUAUAACGGAAUUUGAUGAGACUGUCAUUAAAGUGAGAGGGUUAGCGCUAUAGAACCAGGUUUAAUCCACCAUUUUCUACAUUUGCAAAUGCCUGUACCAAGUCAGGAAUAUGACAGUUCUUGUCCAUUCGUUUUUUAUACGUUUUGUUAUUUGAUUUUGCCAUGUGAUAAUGGACUUUCCGAAUUGAUUUUCC
rnacentral:lncRNA from 1 species